GAUGAACGCUGGCGGCGUGCCUAAUACAUGCAAGUCGAGCGAACAGACGAGGAGCUUGCUCCUUUGACGUUAGCGGCGGACGGGUGAGUAACACGUGGGUAACCUACCUAUAAGACGGGGAUAACUUCGGGAAACCGGAGCUAAUACCGGAUAAUAUUUCGAACCGCAUGGUUCGAUAGUGAAAGAUGGCUUUGCUAUCACUUAUAGAUGGACCUGCGCCGUAUUAGCUAGUUGGUAAGGUAACGGCUUACCAAGGCAACGAUACGUAGCCGACCUGAGAGGGUGAUCGGCCACACUGGAACUGAGACACGGUCCAGACUCCUACGGGAGGCAGCAGUAGGGAAUCUUCCGCAAUGGGCGAAAGCCUGACGGAGCAACGCCGCGUGAGUGAUGAAGGUCUUCGGAUCGUAAAACUCUGUUAUUAGGGAAGAACAAACGUGUAAGUAACUGUGCACGUCUUGACGGUACCUAAUCAGAAAGCCACGGCUAACUACGUG
rnacentral:rRNA from 1 species